CGACGUCGGUUCCUCCUCCCGACGGAAGUGUGUCGGGGGGAUUUUACGACGUCGCAGAGUAACGAGUCUGUUUCACCCAGAGAGCUUCGGCACUCCGGCUUCCUGGUUUUGCGAGACUCUACAAAA
ensembl:snoRNA